rnacentral:misc_RNA from 1 species
UGAGCUUCAAAGAAGAGAAUGCUCUUACUAAGAGCUUGGCCAUAGUCAUGCCCAGCAAAAGCAAAUGGGAGACAGAGGAACAGAAACAGGGGAGCCACUGAAAUGAGCCUAAAAUGCUUCUCCAUGGAUCUAUAUUAAGUGUUAAGAAAAUGAACCCAAAUGCAGUGAAUGAGCAAACACGCAGAUUCAGGUCUGUUCUGCAGCAGCAAUGGAUCUAUAUACGAAAAAAGGGGAAGAUAGCA